CCUUAAAUAUGUUUUGCCAGCCCUUUCUGGCUUGCCAGGUUUCUAUGGACAGGUCUGAAUUAUUCUGAUAUUCCUCCUUCUCUGGACAUAUAAAUCUCUU